GCGUAUAUUAAAGUUGUUGCAGUUAAAAAGCUCGUAGUUGAAUUUCGGGGUUGAUACGUUGGUCGGGCUAUUUGGUCUGUACUUAUGUAAUGGAUUCCUACCUUCUGAAUAACCGGCAUGCCAUUAAUUUGGUGCGCCGGGAAAGCAGGAUUGUUACCUUGAAAAAAUUAAAGUGUUUAAAGCAGGAA
rnacentral:rRNA from 1 species